rnacentral:rRNA from 1 species
UCUACGGGUGGCAGCAGUAGGGAAUUUUCGUCAAUGGGCGCAAGCCUGAACGAGCGAUGCCGCGUGAGUGAAGAAGGCCUUCGGGUCGUAAAGCUCUGUUGCGGGGGAAAAAAGGCAGCAUCAGGAAAUGGGUGCUGACUGAUGGUGCCCCGCCAGAAAGUCACGGCUAACUACGUGCCAGCAGCCGCGGUAAUACGUAGGUGGCGAGCGUUAUCCGGAAUGAUUGGGCGUAAAGGGUGCGCAGGCGGUCCUGCAAGUCUGGAGUGAAACGCAUGUGCUCAACUCAUGCAUGGCUUUGGAAACUGGAGGACUGGAGAGCAGGAGAGGGCGGUGGAACUCCAUGUGUAGCGGUAAAAUGCUUAGAGAUCAUACAGAACACCGAUUGCGAAGGCAGCUUACCAAACUAUAUCUGACGUUGAGGCACGAAAGCGUGGGUAGCAAACAGGAUUAGAUACCCGAGUAGUC